AAUAGAUACCCCGGUAGUCCACGCUGUAAACGAUGAGGACUAGAUGUUGGUAGGGGAACCUAUCGGUAUCGAAGCAAACGCGAUAAGUCUUCCGCCUGGGAAGUACGGCCGCAAGGUUGAAACUCAAAUGAAUUGACGGGAGCCCGCACAAGCGGUGGAGCAUGUGGUUUAAUUCGAUGCAACGCGAAGAACCUUACCUACCCUUGACAUCCUAGGAACCCUGCAGAGACGUAGGGGUGCCGAAAGGAACCUAGAGACAGGUGCUGCAUGGCUGUCGUCAGCUCGUGUUGUGAGAUGUUGGGUUAAGUCCCGUAACGAGCGCAACCCUUGCCCUUAGUUGCCAGCAUUAAGUUGGGGACUCUAAGGGGACUGCCGGUGAUGAACCGGAGGAAGGCGGGGACGACGUCAAGUCAUCAUGGCCUUUAUGGGUAGGGCUACACACGUGCUACAAUGGGGCGUACAGAGGGUAGCCAACCCGGCGAGGGGGAGCCGAAUCUCAGAAAGCGUCUCGUAGUCCGGAUUGGAGUCUGCAACUCGACUCCAUGAAGGUUG
rnacentral:rRNA from 1 species